AAAGAAAAUUGUCGGGGGCCUGCACAAAGUGGUGGAGCAUGUGGUUUAAUUCGAAGCAACGCGCAGAACCUUACCAGCGUUUACAUGCCAGGACGGUUUCCAGAGAUGGAUUCCUUCCCUUACGGGACCUGGACACAGGUGCUGCAUGGCUGUCGUCAGCUCGUGUCGUGAGAUGUUGGGUUAAGUCCCGCAACGAGCGCAACCCUCGUCUUUAGUUGCCAGCAUUUAGUUGGGCACUCUAGAGAAACUGCCGGUGAUAAGCCGGAGGAAGGUGGGGAUGACGUCAAGUCCUCAUGGCCCUUACACGCUGGGCUACACACGUGCUACAAUGGCGGUGACAAUGGGCAGCAAACUCGCGAGAGUGAGCAAAUCCCAAAAAGCCGUCUCAGUUCGGAUUGUUCUCUGCAACUCGAGAGCAUGAAAGGCGGAAUCGCUAGUAAUCGCGGAUCACCGCGCCGCGGUGAAUACGCUCCCAGGCCUUGACACCCGCCC
rnacentral:rRNA from 1 species